rfam:Oryza meridionalis cultivar OR44 (W2112) chromosome 9, whole genome shotgun sequence.
GCGCCUUCUCCUCCGCCCGCUCGGCUGCCACGCGGCAGCUGAGCGAGGGCCUCGGGGUGGCGC